rnacentral:RNase_MRP_RNA from 17 species
GGCGAAAAUCCCCGGGCGCUGCGGCAGAGAGUGUCGGGUCGCGAUGACCAGGACCUGGACGCGCUCGCGCGCGGGAAACCGCGAGCGGGACGUCGAGUAACUCGCCGAGGCACAGUCAUGUGUCCACCGCGGAGACAACGCGGGAACUCAACGGGGUUUACUCUGAA